CCUACGGGUGGCAGCAGUGGGGAAUAUUGGACAAUGGGGGCAACCCUGAUCCAGCCAUGCCGCGUGUGUGAAGAAGGCCCUCGGGUUGUAAAGCACUUUCAGUGAGGAAGAACGCCUGGUGGUUAAUACCCAUCAGGAAAGACAUCACUCACAGAAGAAGCCCCGGCUAACUCCGUGCCAGCAGCCGCGGUAAUACGGAGGGUGCGAGCGUUAAUCGGAAUUACUGGGCGUAAAGCGCGCGUAGGUGGCUUGAUAAGCCGGUUGUGAAAGCCCCGGGCUCAACCUGGGAACGGCAUCCGGAACUGUCAAGCUAGAGUGCAGGAGAGGAAGGUAGAAUUCCCGGUGUAGCGGUGAAAUGCGUAGAGAUCGGGAGGAAUACCAGUGGCGAAGGCGGCCUUCUGGACUGACACUGACGCUGAGGUGCGAAAGCGUGGGUAGCAAACAGGAUUAGAUACCCGGGUAGUC
rnacentral:rRNA from 1 species